AAGUACCGUGAGGGAAAGUUGAAAAGCACUCUGAAUAGAGAGUUAAAUAGUACGUGAAACCGCUUAGGGGUUAAGCCUGAUGAACCCGAAUAUUUGAAAUGAGAAAUUCAUUAUUAUUAAGUAGCUACACUUUGCUGUAGCGAACAAUGGUAUGCACUUUUCUCAGUGUAAAACAUUGCAAUCUAUUUGUAUAUCCGUAUGGAUGGUUUAUCAAAUGGCCCGUAUGGUUUGUUCAUUCCUAUCUGUGACAUUUUAUGUCAUAUGGUUGAUGCCAUAGCGGUGACCUGGUAAACAGCAGAUAGUUUUUAAAAAUCAUGCAACCACAUUUUAUGUGUGUCACGGUUCGUGUGCUUUUGUGCGCGGAUGCAGUGAUAGCAUGCAUUUGAUUGGCAAUGCGAUAGGUUUGGGAACCUUCAGGACCCGUCUUGAAACACGGACCAAGAAGUCUAACAUGUGUGCGAGUCAUUGGGUAUAUUGUUGAAACCUAAGGGCGCAAUUAAAAUAACUAUUUUAUAUGGGAUUACAAGUGAAUUAAAUUUCAUUUCUUCAUCCCGGGGCGUUCUAUACGAACAUGGUGCAAGCAAUUGUGCCCUCUGUUCAAGAGCGUACCUUGAGCAUACAUGCUGUGACCCGAAAGAUGGUGAACUAUACCUGAUCAGAUCGAAGCCAGGAGAAAUUCUGGUGGAGGAUCGAAACAGUUCUGACGUGCAAAUCGAUUGUCAGAAUUGGGUAUAGGGGCGAAAGACCAAUCGAACCAUCUAGUAGCUGGUUCCCUCCGAAGUUUCCCUCAGGAUAGCUGGCGCAAAGAAUUAUAUUGUAUAUAAUCUUAUCUGGUAAUCUUGAUCUGAGAUAUUGGGGUUUAGAUAUAUUGUGCCCAGUGGGCCACUUUUGGUAAGCAGAACUGGCGCUGUGGGAUGAACCAAACAUGAUGUUACGGCGCCUAAAUUAAUGACUCAUAUUGAUACCAUGAAAGGCGUUGGUUGCUUAAAACAGCAGGACGGUGGACAUGGAAGUCGUAAUCCGCUAAGGAGUGUGUAACAACUCACCUGCCGAAGCAACUAGCCCUUAAAAUGGAUGGCGCUCAAGUCAUAUGCCUAUACAUCAUCGCUAGAAUAAAAAUUGUUGACUUUCGGGUCAUCAAUAUGAAAUUCUAGUGAGUAGGAGGGUACAAUGGUGUGCGCGGAAGUGUUUGGCGUGAGCCUGCAUGAAGCCGCCAUUGGCACAGAUCUUGGUGGUAGUAGCAAAUAAUCGAAUGAGAUCUUGGAGGACUGAAGUGGAGAAGGGUUUCGUGUGAACAGUGGUUGAUCACGAGUUAGUCGGUCCUAAGCUUUAUGCGAAAGCUGUUUAAUUUAUGUUACAUACACAUUUAUUUUUGUUGUACAUAAUUCAAUAAAAGCGAAAGGGAAUACGGUUCCAAUUCCGUAACCUGUUGAGUAUACGUUUGUUUAUUAAAAAUGGGUCUUAUUACACUCAUCCUGGCAACAGGAACGACCAUAGAGAAGCCUUCGAGAGAUACUGGAAGAGUUUUCUUUUCUGCUAAACAAACGUAUCACCAUGGAAGUCUUUUAUAGAGAGAUAUGGUGAAUGGCUUGGAAGAGCAUGACAUUUACUGUUGUGUCAGUAUUUUCUCCUUGGACCUUGAAAAUCUAUGGUGGGGCCACGCAAACUUUCUCAACAGACCGUACCGAUAUCCGCAGCCGGUCUCCAAGGUGAAGAGUCUCUAGUCGAUAGAAUA
rnacentral:rRNA from 1 species